rnacentral:lncRNA from 1 species
AGUCAUUACCGAAACGAUGGUAACGACAUACUUGAACAAAAACAAAAUCAAUUACUAGCUUCUUGGUGGCCUUGUGACUUUCCCUGAUCCAAGUGUAAGUCUUGUGCUUCCAGUAGUAUAGGCCUCUACUACUAUUCACACCUACUCAUACUCGUCCCAAGUAUUGUCUCGCAGUUUUCCAAGUCACCAUUCAAGAAAAUCAAAUAACCAUUUAACAUAUCAAAUAACAAAACCAAGUUUUAUAUUACUUCUUGAUACGAUUACACAACUACGCCUCUAAUAGGCUACACCACACGUUACUAUUCACAUUGCUACUUCAUAACUUGAUCUUCGGGUAUGAAGUCCUCAUCCUUGAUUCCUCGCGUUGUUAUCUACUUCGUCGAGGAUCAUGUAGAAUGCCCUUGGUUUUAGUGGUGCAUUUGGCUUUGUAGCUCCUUCCCUCUUUGGGCAGUCUUGCUUGUAGUGCCCUUCUUCAUUACAUCUGUAACACGCCCUUUUGUUGAAUGUAAAUUCAUUGGUGUAUUGCCCAUGCUUCCCACACUUGAAACAUGUAACAUCCUCGCCACAUUUCCCAACAUGUUUCUUUUUACACUUUUCACACCAUCUUGUUUCACUUCUUCCUUCUCCUCCUCCUCCAGUCUUCGAGAAUUUUAUCUUCUCGUUGGACCUUGAAGAUCCUUCAAACUUCCUCUUUUCUCCUACCUUAUCUUUUUACAGAACCUUUUCUUUUAUCUAGGUCUCUACAUUCUUUGCUGCUCUAACAACUGUUUUCAAAUUAGUUGCCAUUUUGACCAUCGGACCAAAGUCCGUUGGCAAUCCGUUAUCAAUCCGUUAGCAAAUCUAUAUAUCUUGGAAAGUUCAUUCGGCACCAAGUAUGGAAACAACUUCAUCUUUUCGGUAAACGUAGUAGCAUAGUCAUAUAUGCUCAUUUUCCCUUUCCUUAAGUUCAGAAAGUCAUUGUUUAGGUCUAUCAGAUCCAUUUCUGAGCAGUAUUGCAUUUUCAACUGCUCCAUGAAUGCUUCCCAAGACAUCCUCCUGGCUUCUCCUUAUGGCAUUGUAUCUGCCCACAACUUCCACCAACUUAAAACUCCAGUCUUUAGUUGUCUGACUGCAAAGACUGCCGUUUGCUUAUCGUUGCAGUUGCAGCUUUCAAAUACCAUCUCCGUCUCGGAGAUCCAGUCCAUAAUCUUUACUAGCUUUGGGCUUCCAGAAAGACUUGGUGGUUUGGUACCCAAGAAGUUCUUAUACAUAUGUCCAUCUCUAUCGAUUCUCCUCUCCGGGUCAUUCCCUCUUGCCACUGGGGGUUCAACUUGACUGACGGUGCGGCUGUAAUUUCCUUCCUCUGACUGUUCGUCAUUUAGUUCAAGUUGUUCAAUAGUCAUUAAAGGUUCACUCCUAUUGUUCAUCAAUAGUUGUCUCAUUUCUUCCCUUUGUUCAACCAUCAUAGCCUGAAUCAUGGCUUGUACUCCAGCCAUUGUGAUUGGUUCUGGUGCAGUUUCUACUAUAGGCGCAUGCUCAAUCACUUAGGGUUGAGGUUGCUGAUUCCUAUUCGCAUUUCCAGCUCCACUUCAGGUUCUUACCAUUAUGAUCUAAACACCAAAUUAGGCGAAUUUAGAUCUCUAUUCACAAUAGAUAUUUAAAUUCUCCUUAUCACUCCGAAACGUUUACAUGCUAAUUCUAAUAUCGUAGUCAUACGCUUAGAAUCCUGAACACAUAAGGUUUCCAGAUCCGGUCGGCAACAGACCAUAGAUCCGAAAAAUUAAUAUCAUAUAUGACAAACAUAUAAUAUUUAGCACAUAAAAGCAUUUUAGGCAUCUUUCCUAAAAUAUACUAGUGCUCGUGUCAAAAAUAUGGUAGACAAUCAUCUCACGAUUAUCAUUUAGCAUUAUAAGUUUAAGUCUAGAAAUCCUACAAAUUUCUAGUUCGUUUAAACUAAUGUUCUGAUACCAACUGUGACAUCCCCAAUUUUCUCGGCCAGAAAAUACCGAUUUCGUUUAUGCUUUUUAAAAUAUAAUCAAACAUUUAUCAAAGCAUUUCUUAAAGAAAUGUGUUUUUGUUUCAUUAUAAAACUCGAGAUGUCCUCAUUGAUACAGACCAAAAGCAUAAACAGAACGUACAUUCAUUUACACUAUUGAUUUACAUCUCCUUUAAUCUCUCAGUAUAAUGUGGCUUCGUAUCAACACUUGUGAUACAAAUAAACUAAGUGGGUCAGGCUUGGGAGCCUGGUGAGCAUAUAGGGUUUUCAACCCACAAAUAAUAAAUUUAUUAAUUUUUAUCAACCAACAAUAAAUUUAAAAAUUUCAUCACCGAGCAACAAACUUAUCAACCCACAAUAAAUAAAUUUAUUAUGUUUAAACAUCAAACAAUCAACCCAAUUCCUCACCCCCGUUAUCCUCUUUAUUCUUAAGGAUCCACCCUAAGAAAUCAGCUUUUCCUCGUUCAUUUAUUCCUAAGGAAUAGAUACGAAUUCAUCUUUGCCUAUGGCGCAGCUACCAAUGUUAUUUAUUAGGCGCAACUGCAAAUAACAUCUUUUAUUUUCUAUUGAGCACAGCUACAAAUGUUAUUUAUUAGGCGCAGCUGCAAAUAACAUCUUUUAUUUUCUAUUGGACACAGCUGCAAAUGUUAUUUAUUAGGCGCAACUACAAAUAACAUCUAUAUCAUCUUUCAUCCCUCAUUCUUUAUCUACCCAUGUUUUACCCAACAUAUUUGUAGAUAUAAAAUAUAUAUACAAUUUAAAACCUGUAUAAAACAUUCUUUCAACAUCAAUCUAAAAUAAACAAACAACAUAUAUACACAUAGCACGUAUUUUAUAUAAAAUACUUCAUAUCUAUGUGUAAGAUGAAAGUGACUAUACACUCAUAUGAUAAGACGACGAUUGGACAACACCUCGUCUCUUAAAACAAUCGUUUCUGAUAAAACCGGGAUGUUUUCCCAUAAACCGGGCAUCACGCGGGCAGAGUUUCGGCCCGAAAACUUUUUUUCUGGGAUCUUCAGGGCGUCGGGACUUGCUUCGGGUGUCGGGGAUAAUACUGGGACUUCAGGGGUUAAAAGUAGCUUAGAGAGAGUAGAGAGUGAGAGGGAAUAGAUUUUCUAAACAAAAACCCACAGGCUUUGUUUUCUAUUUAUAGUGACUGAAACACCUAUUACGUUGGGCGUAAAUUAUGAGUACGCUUGGCGUACUGCUCUAACAGCCACUACGAUGGGUGUACAACUUAGUACGUUGGGCGUACUCUGAUGAGUGGCAUUAGACAUGUCGAACUUGCGUGAUACGUUUCGAUUGCAAGGAAUAGGCGACGUGGCUAAUCUGGGACCGUGAACACGAGUACGCUGGGCGUACUCCGAAUUUCCAAACUUCAAAAAUUCGUAUCUUUUGCAUAUGAGCUCCGUUUUUGACGAUCUUUAUAUCCACGCGUAUAUGGGAUUAUGCUCUAAAACUUUCGUUUAGACUUCGUCGGCUAAUUUUGAAUUCAUUUUUAAUAAUAUAUUUUUAACAGGACGGGACAGGAAAAGUCCGUUAAAAAUUUAUAGCUUCUUCAUCCAACGCUCGUUUUCGUCUGUCUUUUUACCGUUAAACUACAAUCAACAAGAUCUUUGAUUCUCGUUUAGAUUGUUUUGGCUAAAAAUCACUCGAUCUAAAAUUCGAGUUUCGAUCGGGCUGUAUACUGCUAAGGCUAAAAAUCAUUCUAUCCACACUCUCGGUUUAACGAACUCUACGACUUUCAUUUAGAUCACUAAGGCUAAAAAUCAUUCUAUCGUAAAUUCACUAUUUACGUCACGCAGUGUCGUACCGGUUCUGUCACGAAACUUCGACAGGUCAUAACUUCUUCGUUAUAACUCGGAUUCCAGUAUUCUUUAUAUCUCUGGAAUCCUUGUUUCAACCACUACAAUUUUCUUCAUAGAUAUCGAAUUUAUCUAAUAUUUAUUUUCGACGAUUAAUUUUAUCCUUAAUCAUAAUAAUUAAGUUUAAAGCGCAUAACUCAUUCUUAUUACUUCAAAACGAGUUUCAAUGGUUGACCUAGACUAUUAUAUCAUCAUUAAUGCUUAGUCCAGAAACACGGACGUUACAAUUCUCUCCUCCUUAGAAUGAUUUCGUCCCCGGAAUCAUACAUCAGCAAACAAAUGCGGAUAGCGAUUCAUCAUGUCCCUCUCUGUUUCCCAGGAGAUAUUUGGCCCAUUUGAAUGUUUCUAUCGUACAAGCACUAAAUCGACGAUCUUGUGACGCAUCUUCUCAGUCUUACGGUCAACGAUUGCCUCUGGUUUUUCAAUUAACCUCUUGUUUUUAUCUAGCCUUAACUCAGAAAUUAGAAUUAUGUCGGGAACUUCUCCCGUGAACUUUCUCAAAUAACACACGUGGAAAGUGUUAUGAAUAUCUUCUAGUUCUUCUGGUAGUUCUAGCUUGUAAGCUUGAUUCUCAAUCUCUGAAGAACUUUAAACGGUCCAAUAAACUUUGGACUCAACUCUCCCCGAAGCAGAACCAGAUGAGUCUCCGCACCAGCGCCAUCCACCUACAUUGAAUCAACAUCCUUUUCAGCGAAAGCUUUUCCUUUCCCCGAACCACGUAACAUACUCAUCUUAGUCGGACUCGAUUCGAUAUGACCUCUAGGGUCGGAAUAACAAUCAUCUUCUUAGUCAUUACCGAAACGAUGGUAACGACAUACUUGAACAAAAAUGAAAUCAAUUACUAGCUUCUUGGUGGCCUUGUGACUUUCCCUGAUCCAAGUGUGAGUCCUGUGCUUCCAGUAGUAUAGGCCUCUACUAUUAUUCACACCUACUCAUACUCGUCCCAAGUAUUGUCUCGCAGUUUUCCAAGUCACCAUUCAAGAAAAUCAAAUAACCAUUUAACAUAUCAGAUAACAAAACCAAGUGUUAUUGUGGUAAUGAUAGCCCAGGGAGUCAUCGGAAUUACCGCUAGAGAUUUUUUACCGUGAGAUUUUGCAUUCAACUUUACGAGGUGAGUUACCUUCCUGUAGGAGUGGGUUGAAGACACUAAUGUCGACCCACUAGUAGUUGUUUUUGGUAGAGACGAUUGUCUUCGUGAUAAUUGUCUGGUAUGUCAUUGCCUGUUAUGAUUUAUGUGCUUAUUGUUAUGCUAUUAUGUGGUAGUUGUAGGGGUGAAAUAGUCCCCGUAACCGGUUGAAAUAAACCAUAGGGUAGGUCGGGCACCCAAAUAUGCCUGAUAGGGUAGGUCGAGCACCUAGAUAUGCUUGAUAGGGUAGGUCGGGCAACCAGAUAUGCCUGACAGGGUAGGUCGGACAUCCAGAUAUGCCUGACAAUAUGUGUUUAUGUGGUAUGAUGGGGGAAAUUAGUAAGCUUUGUACUUACGGUUUUCAGUUUUGGUUUCAGGUACCUCUUCUUCAAAGGGAAAGAAGCCGACAUGAUUGCAGCGCAUCACACCAUUAUUCCGCACAUGAGAUUCUUGGGAGACUCUGACGAUGCUUUAUUGUGACAUGUUUUGAUUAUUAACAUUUGGUUUGUUAUGAGAUGACACGAUGAAUGCUUUUAACACUAAUGGUUUCUUUAAUACUUGCUUAAAAAUAAAAUUUUUGGUCUCAAUUUUGAGGAUGUUACAAAGUUGCGAAAAACAACCUUUUUAUUCUUAUACAAAAGAUGAAGUAAAGAACUUGUGUGGUUUGCCGUUUGGUUCUUAGAAAAAUCACGAGAUAUCAAGAUUGUUCCUUCCAUAAAAUCUUCAAAUAGAAUUACAAAAUGUUAUGUCAAAAUUUUGAAAUUUCAUCUUAAUUGAGUGUUGAAACCAUUUUUUUAUUCCACAAUUUAUAAAAGUUCGAAAUUGAUUGUCAAUUUAUGCUACUACUAAAGAUAUGGAAAAUUUCUAAUAUAAGUAAGACAUGUAAAA